UAGGGAAUCUUCCGCAAUGGACGAAAGUCUGACGGAGCAACGCCGCGUGAGUGAAGAAGGAUUUCGGUUCGUAAAACUCUGUUGGUAGGGAAGAAAAAAUGUAUAGUAACUAUAUACAAAAGAGACGGUACCUAACCAGAAAGCCACGGCUAACUACGUGCCAGCAGCCGCGGUAAUACGUAGGGGGCUAGCGUUGUCCGGAAUCACUGGGCGUAAAGGGUUCGCAGGCGGAAAUGCAAGUCAGGUGUAAAAGGCAGUAGCUUAACUACUGUAAGCAUUUGAAACUGCAUAUCUUGAGAAGAGUAGAGGUAAGUGGAAUUUUUAGUGUAGCGGUGAAAUGCGUAGAUAUUAAAAAGAAUACCGGUGGCGAAGGCGACUUACUGGGCUCAUUCUGACGCUGAGGAACGAAAGCGUGGGUAGCAAACAGG
rnacentral:rRNA from 1 species